rnacentral:rRNA from 1 species
GACGAACGCUGGCGGCGUGCUUAACACAUGCAAGUCGAACGAUGAACCGGAGCUUGCUCUGGGGAUUAGUGGCGAACGGGUGAGUAACACGUGGGCAACCUGCCCCAGACACCGGGAUAACCAUUGGAAACGAUGGCUAAUACCGGAUACGACCACUUCGGGCAUCCGAUGGUGGUGGAAAGGAUUCUGGUCUGGGAUGGGCCCGCGGCCUAUCAGCUUGUUGAUGGGGUAAUGGCCUACCAAGGCGACGACGGGUAGCCGGCCUGAGAGGGCGACCGGCCACACUGGGACUGAGACACGGCCCAGACUCCUACGGGAGGCAGCAGUGGGGAAUAUUGCGCAAUGGGCGAAAGCCUGACGCAGCGACGCCGCGUGAGGGACGAAGGUCUUCGGAUUGUAAACCUCUUUCAGCAGGGAUGAAGCGAAAGUAACAGUACCUGCAGAAGAAGCACCGGCUAACUACGUGCCAGCCGCCGCAGUAACAC